GAGGACCCAGAGCCCCCACGUUAAAGAGGACCAGGAGGACCCAGCGGUGGAAUCUCACGAGCAGAGCAAGAAGCACAGAGACUAGCGAAGGCCGCCAGCAGCCCGCGGGGCUAGCUGCUGCUCCGCCGCCAGCAACGACGUCAACGCUGGAGGUCACCGGAGGAAAUCCAGCGCCGUGCAACAAAGAGCUCAUCACCGAAGUCCAACAGGCCGGCGCGUUCUUCAUUCUGUUCCACGAGACUCUGGACCAGACCACCGCGAGCAGACAGCUGGACUUCAUGUGCUCUCUUGGUGAAAUGACCACGUCCCGUCAGGAUCCUGUGGAGCUCAUGGGCCGUGACACCACAGGACCUACUGCAGCACCUCAAAGAGAAUGGACCAAAUGUCAACUGGAAGUUUUUAUAUUAAUACAGUUUGAAAAGGAUUGUUUUCCUAGUAUAUUCACAAAAGCUCAGGAGUAGACAUGAACCUGUGCACAAACAUAGAGACAUGAGAACUCACUCACACACACAUUCUAUUAUGUAAAUGAAUUAGCAUUUUAAAAGCAGCUGGAAUUGUUAUUUGUUAUUUUAUAGAUUAUUUUUUUCAAAAGGAACUAUGUUGCACGUAUUUUAAAAAUAUAUUUACUUAAUUUUAUAGACAUUUGUUCAUGGGACUUAAAUGUUCUGAAAAUGUAUUAAUAAAUAUAAUUUACAACAGCAAUGACAUUUGUGUUAUCCUUUUGCAUUACACCAUCCUGUUAAUUUUGAACAGACAUCAGUGUGUUUACUUUGAAUUAAUUAAUUUAGAUUCAUGUAUAUUUCCAUCGUAAGUUAGGUCUUAAAUUUUAUUUAGACGUGGUCUUAAAAAGUCUUAAAUUUCACUGGUUUAUUCCUGUAGACACCCUGUGGCGGUGCAGGACCACAAAGGCUGUUAUAAUCAGUACACCAGGUUUUUGAUGAGGCCUGAAAAACCAGAGAAAGACCAGAGUGAGCCCACGUUUGAUGUCAGCGAUAAGAUAUUCUGUGAGAGGAUCAUUGGCCAAAGGCUGCUUGUCAACCAAGAGGUGCUGAGGAUGGGCUGAGGAAGGCCUUCAUUGAACUGGGGAAAGCAAAUGAAGACAGGAUAUGUUGAAGAAGAGGCUGGCUCGUGAUUUCCCCCAGCUGGUGUUUCACAUCCCCACCAAGCGCAACAUCUGCCAGCUGGUUUUUGCAGAGACCCUGUCAACCGGGACACUCGCGUGACUCCACAAGUGCCUUUUAUGGCAAAGGGAAAAAAAGACAUUUUCUGUUGCAUGUGAGAAAGCACUGCAAACGGGCAAACUACCAGGCUGCAAUAAUGAGGUCCUGUCGCAAACAAAAUGUGCUCCAUCACCUGCUGGAUAUGGUUGGCAAAGAGAGGAUGGGACCUUGCACAUCACCUGGAUGACCAGACAUCCGGCCCCUGACAGUGUUUUGCAUGUCAUACACUGCGGCUGCAAAGGUGCCUGUGAGACAGGAAGAUGUUCCCGUUUCUCUGCAGGAUUGUGUUGCACAGACUUCUGUCGUUGCUGUAAUUGUGCCAACACCAAAGACACCGAGCAACUGGAACACAACUGUCCUGACACUGACUGUGAGGACUGAGCGUCCUUAAUGUUAUUUCUUUUGUAGUUUUGUACAGUUUUAUAUAUCAGUCAUAUUUUUCAUAAAGAUUGUUUCUAUUGUU